ACAACAUUUGGACCGUCGGUCUACCGAGCGCAUAUCACCCGCUCGGUGGAAGAACUUCCCUUGUCGU
rnacentral:pre_miRNA from 1 species